GGCAUUGUCAUCGAUGUAUUCAAGCUUAUUGUGACUGACGUUCAACACUUGCAAAUUGUACUCGUCCUUGCAGAGAAAGAAGAACCUUUGAAGAUGAUUCUGCGACAAGUCCAGAGUUCUCAGAUUCGCGAGAUUCAUCUGCGUUUGAAUAUUCACGAAAAAGUCUUCUUUCUUCAAUCCACGCCCAGAUAAAUCCACCUAGAACGAGGAGAAUAUGAGAAACAGAGAUUCAAGAAAAACGUUAUUCCUGUAUGCGAAGCGAGGAGGAAAUGAAAGAAAAUUUUAACAGCGUCUAGUUUCUGCAACGUCGACUUUAGAGAAGGCGGGAAGAAACGAAUUAUGGCGCGCCAUUAUGUCACAGUAAGUGUCGUUGCAAUUCAAAAUUUGAAAUCACAGUAAUGUAAGGUGAUGCGAAAAUGAUCAUUAAAUUAUCAUCGAACGAUUAAAAUGAUGUUAUUGGUGUCGGUUAUUGCAACGGUAGAUAUUGCAACAAUAAAUAACGCACAGUUUAAACUUCUAAAUUGCAACGUAUCGCACGCAAGUGCAUGCGUGAAAGAGAUUACGCGAAUGAGCGAUAUACGCAUCUGGGGGGGGGCGACGUUAUAAAAAUUGUCACCAAAUGGCCUGCGAAUAGUUAUCAGGUCGAAUGUCAAAAAGUCACGUGUAUAAACCCACCAACUUCGAGUUCGUGGUAACAAUUAGGACGAGGAUAGUGAUAGUCCCGAGCCACAUUGUCCAGGUGGUACACUAAAUAUACACGAUGGAAUUUCGAUUUCGUUUAAAUCGAUCACACCGGGACCGACUAGUUUCAACUAUGCCUCUCACACAACGAUCCGUUGGAAUGGCAACGAAUUCAUCCGCGACAUACUCUGCUCACGAUUACAGUGCCGAAUUAAGAGGGGAUCAGGAGGGGCUUCGGCAUCCUGAUGCAGUUGUUUGACCGCGCUGCAACUUACAAUAUAUAUCGUUCAGCGAUAUUCAGAUCACUCGUGUUUUUCUUAUACUUUGAGAUUUUAGUUUUGUAAAUUCUUGUACAAUUAACAGAUUUCUUUUUACACUGCACAGAGAGUAAUAUUCGCGUACGACGAAUUUGAUCGAAAGUAGAAAAAAAAAAAAAAAAAGAAAAGAAAAAACAGCUAUGCGUUCGAAGAUUUCAAAUUAUUUGAUACUUAGCCAAAAAUGCGAAUUAUUUAAUUUUCUCCACAAUUGUUACACAGCUUUCGUUCUGUAUGUUAGUCAAAAUUUGUCAUCGAAUUUCCUUCGACCUUUGCACCAUUUCUUUUGUAAAAGGUAAUUUGUAAUUUUCUAUUUCAAAUUUCUUAAUAUUAUGAUCACGUGUUAAUUAAACGGUGUAAUUGAUGAAAUAUAAAAUCGUUCGAGUAUCCUUCAGAAUGAAUUCGCAGGGCGCGCGCCGAGUUAAUCCGUUCCCGACCAGUUCAGAAUCCGAGAGGCUAACGCACCACUUUUUCGAUAAAGCGAGAUUACGACCCCGAUCCACUCUUAUGCUCUGCGGUGUGUUUGCUUUUUCCCUCUCAGGUCUUUUAAUCGCGUAUUUUUUCAAUUAAUUUACACUCUCACCACGAUAUCGCGUGACGAAA